rfam:Ricinus communis ctg_1100012354700, whole genome shotgun sequence.
UGUUGAUGAUGACAAAAUCCAUAAGGCUUGUUUCUCAAAACAUUCGCAGUGGCCGCCUAAAGCUUUCGCUUUCGCCAGGCUUGAGAGCUAAUGCUGCUUCAAUCCUUCCUUGGAUGUCUGAAACU